ACAGCAGCCGCCGCGGGAAUACGUAGGUGGCAAGCGUUGUCCGGAAUUAUUGGGCGUAAAGGGCUCGCAGGCGGUUUCUUAAGUCUGAUGUGAAAGCCCCCGGCUCAACCGGGGAGGGUCAUUGGAAACUGGGAAACUUGAGUGCAGAAGAGGAGAGUGGAAUUCCACGUGUAGCGGUGAAAUGCGUAGAGAUGUGGAGGAACACCAGUGGCGAAGGCGACUCUCUGGUCUGUAACUGACGCUGAGGAGCGAAAGCGUGGGGAGCGAACAGGAUUAGAGACCCGCGUAGUCCCUGUCUCUUAUAC
rnacentral:rRNA from 1 species